GCAUAGCUUAGUGGCACAGUACCUGCUUGGGAUACAGAAUGUCCUGGGUUCAAUCCCCAGCAUCUGCA